rnacentral:lncRNA from 1 species
GCGGGAACUCGCGGUCCAGGUGCUUGAGACCCAGGCGCGUGCAGGUCCUGGGCGGUCGCAGCACAAAUUCUGGGUGGCGGGAGAGGAUAUCUGCCGCACAGGCCUGGCGGCGGCAACCCAGGUCCUGGGUACCGGAGGAGCACGUCUUGGGAGACGGUGGAGCAAGCACUUUCGUGGCGCAGGUCUUGGUCGACAGACG